GAUGAACGCUAGCUACAGGCUUAACACAUGCAAGUCGAGGGGAAACGAUAUUGGAAGCUUGCUUCCGAUAGGCGUCGACCGGCGCACGGGUGAGUAACGCGUAUCCAACCUGCCCAUCACUUGGGGAUAACCUUGCGAAAGUAAGACUAAUACCCAAUGACGUCUCUAGAAGACAUCUGAAGGAGAUUAAAGAUUUAUCGGUGAUGGAUGGGGAUGCGUCUGAUUAGCUUGUUGGCGGGGUAACGGCCCACCAAGGCGACGAUCAGUAGGGGUUCUAAGAGGAAGGUCCCCCACAUUGGAACUGAGACACGGUCCAAACUCCUACGGGAGGCAGCAGUGAGGAAUAUUGGUCAAUGGGCGAGAGCCUGAACCAGCCAAGUAGCGUGCAGGAAGACGGCCCUAUGGGUUGUAAACUGCUUUUAUAAGGGAAUAAAGUGGGAGUCGUGACUCCUUUUGCAUGUACCUUAUGAAUAAGGACCGGCUAAUUCCGUGCCAGCAGCCGCCGUAA
rnacentral:rRNA from 1 species